GACGAACGCUGGCGGCGUGCCUAAUACAUGCAAGUAGAACGCUGAAGGAGGAGCUUGCUUCUCCGGAUGAGUUGCGAACGGGUGAGUAACGCGUAGGUAACCUGCCUGGUAGCGGGGGAUAACUAUUGGAAACGAUAGCUAAUACCGCAUAACAGUAGAUAUUGCAUGAUAUCUGCUUGAAAGGUGCAAUUGCGUCACUACCAGAUGGACCUGCGUUGUAUUAGCUAGUUGGUGAGGUAACGGCUCACCAAGGCGACGAUACAUAGCCGACCUGAGAGGGUGAUCGGCCACACUGGGACUGAGACACGGCCCAGACUCCUACGGGAGGCAGCAGUAGGGAAUCUUCGGCAAUGGACGGAAGUCUGACCGAGCAACGCCGCGUGAGUGAAGAAGGGUUUCGGAUCGUAAAGCUCUGUUGUAAGAGAAGAACGAGUGUGAGAGUGGAAAGUUCACACCGUGACGGUAGCUUACCAGAAAGGGACGGCUAACUACGUG
rnacentral:rRNA from 1 species